AGUGAUAACGGGAUGCCACUCAAUUACUGCGACAUAGUCGUACAGCAAAUGUUGUGUUAUUCGAGUCCAAUGUUAACUGUAAGACUGUGUCUUGGUUUUUUGGGAUAUUUCUACAACGACAUCC
rnacentral:pre_miRNA from 1 species